rnacentral:rRNA from 1 species
GUCCACGCCGUAACGGUGGGCACUAGGUGUGGCGGUGUUAACCCUGCCGUGCCGAAGCUAACGCAUUAAGUGCCCGCCUGGGAGUACGGCCGCAAGGUUAAACUCAAGGAAUUGACGGGGCCCGCACAAGCGGUGGAGCAUGUGGUUUAAUUCGACGCAACGCGAAGAACCUUACCUGGGUUUGACAUCCCCCUGACCGUCGCAGAGAUACGACUUUCCCUUCGGGGACAGGGAGACAGGUGCUGCAUGGCUGUCGU